AGUCGACCCCUAAGGCGAGGCCGAAAGGCGUAGUCGAUGGGAAACAGGUUAAUAUUCCUGUACUUGGUGUUACUGCGAAGGGGGGACGGAGAAGGCUAUGUUGGCCGGGCGACGGUUGUCCCGGUUUAAGCGUGUAGGCUGGUUUUCCAGGCAAAUCCGGAAAAUCAAGGCUGAGGCGUGAUGACGAGGCACUACGGUGCUGAAGCAACAAAUGCCCUGCUUCCAGGAAAAGCCUCUAAGCAUCAGGUAACAUCAAAUCGUACCCCAAACCGACACAGGUGGUCAGGUAGAGAAUACCAAGGCGCUUGAGAGAACUCGGGUGAAGGAACUAGGCAAAAUGGUGCCGUAACUUCGGGAGAAGGCACGCUGAUAUGUAGGUGAAGCGACUUGCUCGUGGAGCUGAAAUCAGUCGAAGAUACCAGCUGGCUGCAACUGUUUAUUAAAAACACAGCACUGUGCAAACACGAAAGUGGACGUAUACGGUGUGACGCCUGCCCGGUGCCGGAAGGUUAAUUGAUGGGGUUAGCGCAAGCGAAGCUCUUGAUCGAAGCCCCGGUAAACGGCGGCCGUAACUAUAACGGUCCUAAGGUAGCGAAAUUCCUUGUCGGGUAAGUUCCGACCUGCACGAAUGGCGUAAUGAUGGCCAGGCUGUCUCCACCCGAGACUCAGUGAAAUUGAACUCGCUGUGAAGAUGCAGUGUACCCGCGGCAAGACGGAAAGACCCCGUGAACCUUUACUAUAGCUUGACACUGAACAUUGAGCCUUGAUGUGUAGGAUAGGUGGGAGGCUUUGAAGUGUGGACGCCAGUCUGCAUGGAGCCGACCUUGAAAUACCACCCUUUAAUGUUUGAUGUUCUAACGUUGACCCGUGAUCCGGGUUGCGGACAGUGUCUGGUGGGUAGUUUGACUGGGGCGGUCUCCUCCUAAAGAGUAACGGAGGAGCACGAAGGUUGGCUAAUCCUGGUCGGACAUCAGGAGGUUAGUGCAAUGGCAUAAGCCAGCUUGACUGCGAGCGUGACGGCGCGAGCAGGUGCGAAAGCAGGUCAUAGUGAUCCGGUGGUUCUGAAUGGAAGGGCCAUCGCUCAACGGAUAAAAGGUACUCCGGGGAUAACAGGCUGAUACCGCCCAAGAGUUCAUAUCGACGGCGGUGUUUGGCACCUCGAUGUCGGCUCAUCACAUCCUGGGGCUGAAGUAGGUCCCAAGGGUAUGGCUGUUCGCCAUUUAAAGUGGUACGCGAGCUGGGUUUAGAACGUCGUGAGACAGUUCGGUCCCUAUCUGCCGUGGGCGCUGGAGAACUGAGGGGGGCUGCUCCUAGUACGAGAGGACCGGAGUGGACGCAUCACUGGUGUUCGGGUUGUCAUGCCAAUGGCACUGCCCGGUAGCUAAAUGCGGAAGAGAUAAGUGCUGAAAGCAUCUAAGCACGAAACUUGCCCCGAGAUGAGUUCUCCCUGACUCCUUGAGAGUCCUGAAGGAACGUUGAAGACGACGACGUUGAUAGGCCGGGUGUGUAAGCGCAGCGAUGCGUUGAGCUAACCGGUACUAAUGAACCGUGAGG
rnacentral:rRNA from 1 species